UCCCCUUUGGUGUAACGGCAACACAACAGACUCUGAAUCUGUAGUUCCUAGUUCGAAUCUAGGUUGGGGAGC
rnacentral:tRNA from 2 species